rnacentral:lncRNA from 1 species
GCUGGUAAUCAGCAGGAGCUCCACUUUUCUCACCACCGAAUUCACCUGGAGGCCCUCCUCUUGGCCCACCACGGUAACCCUCUCGGUCACCAAAUCUUGGUCUAUCACCCUCAAAUCUAGGAGGACCACUGUCACAAUAAACAAAUUACAUUAGAAACAUCCAUUGAAACACUACAAUAAUAAAUGUGAAUUCGCUAAUAAACCGAACAAAUGAUAAAUCCCUCUUAGCACACGCCAAACCAGAACUCAAUAACACAACAUAACAUAAGCAGAUUUUCAGUUAAUGUGUCUACGAAUCAGAGAGCACACUAACACAUCCUAACUACAGAAUUAUAUACGAUAGCCGAUAUUCAUAGUUUCAUUUUCAUGACCAAUAAUACAACAGCAUUACAAUCAUUCAAUUCAGUAAUUGCAACAUCACGAACAUACAAUAUCGAUAAAUUAAGGACGAUAAGAACAUUAAUUGAUAAAAAAAAAUUAUACCGAGGGCGAUCGCCAGGGGGUCCACCCAUGGGGCGGCCGAGGGGCUUGGCAGACUUCUUCAGCGUGGCGGGGACGAUUUCCGAUGGAAGGUUGAGGUAUGUGCGGAGGAACUCAAU